UACGUAGGAGGCAAGCGUUGUCCGGAAUUACUGGGCGUAAAGCGCGUGUAGGUGGUGGGACAAGUCUGCUGUGAAAGCGCCUGGCUUAACCGGGCAAGGUCGGCGGAAACUGUCCGACUCGAGGACGGUAGAGGGGGGUGGAAUUCCCGGUGUAGUGGUGAAAUGCGUAGAGAUCGGGAGGAACACCUGUGGCGAAGGCGGCCCCCUGGGCCGGCCCUGACACUGAGACGCGAAGGCGUGGGGAGCGAACGGG
rnacentral:rRNA from 1 species